AUGAAAAAGAGAGAGAAAUUAGAGCACUUGGUACAUCCGAAAUACAGAGAAAAGAAAUCAUGCCGCGCAUGUGUUGGCCUUGUCGACUCCCGUGGCGGUGACCUUGGCGUGGGUGCAGACAGCCAUGGUCUUGUUGUUCGUGCCGGAGUACUCGAUCUUGACGUCGGACAUUGUGAUGCCUUCGCAGGGCUUCUUCUCGGAGCAGAGCAGGCUGACGGCCUCGGGGGUGGAGGAGGUACCGGUGAUGUUUUUGAACGAAACGUCCUUGACGGUGACCCUGUCGGCGUCGCCCUUAGAGGUGCAAAGUUUGUUGGGGCAGUACUUCUGGUCGAUGAUGAUGGGGUUGCCCGAGUCCUCCAUCUUGAUGUUCUCGUAGGUGAUCUUGGAUGCUAUGAGGGGCGACUUGGCGUCCUCGUACGACUUGAUGCGGAGGCCGUUGCUGGAGCCCUUGAGCACGCAGUUCUUGACGGUGAUGUCGGUCACGUCCUUCUCGUCCUUGUACCUCCCGAGGCUACCAAUGCUGAUGCCAUGGCCUGGGCCGCAGGUCACGCCGCUGAUGUUGACUUUUGUGGUGCCGGGGCCCAUGGAGAUGCAGUCGUCGCCAACGCCGAUGGUGGUGUCGAUGAUGCUGACAUUGGACGAGUCGCCCAUGUGGAUGCCGUCGGUGUUGGGGCUGUCCCCGGGCGCGGUCACCUUCACGUCCUUGACGGUCACGCCAUUGCACUGGAAGAUGUUCAUGUGGAAGAACUUGGAAUUGAUGAUAGAGAUGCCUUCGAUGAGCACGUCGUCGCAGAAGUCCAGCACCAGCGACUGCAUGCAUGCAUGCACAUUUAUACGUAA
rnacentral:rRNA from 1 species